GAUGAACGCUGGCGGCGUGCCUAAUACAUGCAAGUCGAGCGAACGGACGAGAAGCUUGCUUCUCUGAUGUUAGCGGCGGACGGGUGAGUAACACGUGGAUAACCUACCUAUAAGACUGGGAUAACUUCGGGAAACCGGAGCUAAUACCGGAUAAUAUUUUGAACCGCAUGGUUCAAAAGUAAAAGACGGUCUUGCUGUCACUUAUAGAUGGAUCCGCGCUGCAUUAGCUAGUUGGUAAGGUAACGGCUUACCAAGGCAACGAUGCAUAGCCGACCUGAGAGAGUGAUCGGCCACACUGGAACUGAGACACGGUCCAGACUCCUACGGGAGGCAGCAGUAGGGAAUCUUCCGCAAUGGGCGAAAGCCUGACGGAGCAACGCCGCGUGAGUGAUGAAGGUCUUCGGAUCGUAAAACUCUGUUAUUAGGGAAGAACAUAUGUGUAAGUAACUGUGCAUAUCUUGACGGUACCUAAUCAGAAAGCCACGGCUAACUACGUG
rnacentral:rRNA from 1 species